UGAACGCUAGCGGCAGGCCUAACACAUGCAAGUCGAACGGUAAGGCCCAGCUUGCUGGGUACACGAGUGGCGCACGGGUGAGUAACGCGUAUGCAACCUGCCUCGAACAGGAGGAUAGCCCCGAGAAAUUGGGAUUAAUACUCCAUAACACCAAUUGGUCGCAUGGCCAUAUGGUUAAAGCCCCGGCGGUUCGAGAUGGGCAUGCGUGACAUUAGUUUGUUGGUGAGGUAACGGCUCACCAAGACAGCGAUGUCUAGGGGUUCUGAGAGGACAGUCCCCCACACUGGUACUGAGACACGGACCAGACUCCUACGGGAGGCAGCAGUGAGGAAUAUUGGUCAAUGGGUGCAAGCCUGAACCAGCCAUGCCGCGUGCAGGAUGACGGCCCUAUGGGUUGUAAACUGCUUUUCCUGGGGAAGAACACCCGCCACGUGUGGCGGAUUGACGGUACCUGGGGAAUAAGCACCGGCUAACUCC
rnacentral:rRNA from 1 species